rnacentral:rRNA from 1 species
GACGAACGCUGGCGGCGUGCCUAAUACAUGCAAGUAGGACGCACAGCCUAUACCGUAGCUUGCUACACCAUAGGCUGUGAGUUGCGAACGGGUGAGUAACGCGUAGGUAACCUGCCUAUUAGAGGGGGAUAACUAUUGGAAACGAUAGCUAAUACCGCAUAACAGUAUGUAACACAUGUUAGAUGCUUGAAAGAUGCAAUUGCAUCGCUAGUAGAUGGACCUGCGUUGUAUUAGCUAGUAGGUAGGGUAAUGGCCUACCUAGGCAACGAUACAUAGCCGACCUGAGAGGGUGAUCGGCCACACUGGGACUGAGACACGGCCCAGACUCCUACGGGAGGCAGCAGUAGGGAAUCUUCGGCAAUGGGGGGAACCCUGACCGAGCAACGCCGCGUGAGUGAAGAAGGUUUUCGGAUCGUAAAGCUCUGUUGUUAAGGAAGAACGA